AGGACGAACGCUGGCGGCGUGCUUAACACAUGCAAGUCAAGGGGACCCGCAAGGGUAACCGGCGAACGGGUGCGUAACACGUGAGCAACCUACCGAGAUCUGGGGGAUAGCCGGCCCAACGGCCGGGUAAUACCGCAUACGCUCUUUCCACGGCAUUGUGGAUUGAGGAAACCUCCGGGGGAUUUCGAGGGGCUCGCGGCCUAUCAGCUAGUUGGCGAGGUCACGGCUCACCAAGGCGACGACGGGUAGC
rnacentral:rRNA from 2 species